CUCUGAGGUUCAACAGUCUGUUUCAAAAAAGGGCUUCCCAUACCAAAUUUCUCCUUACAUGGGAAUGUUGUGAGGAUUAAAUGAAAUGAUCAGUUCCAGUUCUGCUGCCCACCAAGAUGCUGAAAAGUAUCAACUUCAGAGGAGCUUCAGAGGGAGAAAACUCCAAGUUAUUGUAACAUUCAAGAAUGACAUUUUGACAGCAUUAGUCAAAGGUGUGCAAAUCUUUCUUGAAGGGAUGAAGCUACAUGAGAUUAUUCAUUGCAUGCUUCCUGUUAGAUGGAAGACAAGAGAUCUUCUCUUGUUAUUAUUGGAGAAGAAAAAGGAGGCAUUC